GUUACUGUGUUGGAACUAAAGGUUAGAUAGAGCGUGGACUCUCUUAUCCAUACGGAGUACAGGAGGGAAUGAAAGACGAAGCAAAUCGGCCUCAGGAUUGAUAGUUCGCCACUGGCCUUUUCUUUUCCCUUUUCCUUUUUUCCUUUUCCUUUCCCCCUCUUCCUGCAAGCGAUUUAUUUGUAUGCUAUUGUCAAUGUCACUACAUCCCGUAGCGCCUGGUUGUCGAGGCUGAGUCUGGUCAAGCUUUGUCACACCCAUUUUGUUCGGAUCCUCCCUGAGACGGCAUUUCGGUGGACACUUGGACAGAGCAGUGAGAUAAAAAGAGAUGGGAAAACCUUGCCCUGACAGUGUGAGAACUUGAUAACGGGAGACAGAAUAAACAAAGUUCUGGUUUUUGUUCGGGUCGCAUGCUUAGAGUUUGCAGCAGACCAGGAACAGGUAUGUUUGGAAAUUUAUAUGUUUGUAAAUAUAAACGAUUUUGCUCGUAUUUCUUUUCCCCCACAAGAAAAUGGAUGAAUAGAUAAAUUGAUAAAUAAAUGGACGGUAAAAUAUUUCACAGAUUAGUUUCGUUAUUAUUGUCAGAAAACUAGUUAUUUAGUUUAAAAAAAGGGGACAAGGGAAGGCUUGGAGCCGCGGUGUCGGGGAUGGAGAAAAUACAUUAUUUACAUGCGAGUUACCCAUGGUCGCCGCAGAAAUAAUAGGCGGGAUGAAGUACCACUCCAUACUUACAAUGAGACCGAAUAAAAACAACAA
rnacentral:sRNA from 2 species